CAUGCUUCUCGGCUCUCUGAGCUAAGAUCAUGUGUAGCAUCUGUUCUUUGCAGUGUAAUUUCUUCAACGGUCUCUAAACGGAGACCAAUGAAGUUGCCUGUAUUUUUCACCUCCGGACGGGUGCUGCGAGCUUGCUUAACCCCGUCCACGGGUCGUGCCUCGUAUUGCAUUAAUCGUUGGCGUUCAACAGUAA
rfam:Schistosoma curassoni strain Dakar, Senegal genome assembly, scaffold: SCTD_contig0011072